GAUUCAUGCAAGGCCCUCGGGUGAGGGACUGUCGAUCCCGACAGCCAUGCCAGCGCAGGGCCAAGAAAGAAUGUCCUGGAAGGGUGGGGAUGGGUUGGGCUUUCUGAACCCUCCCACCUCAGGAAGGCAAAAGACACAGAUCACAGGCAGCAAGGGGCUGCCAUUUCUGAUGCUUAUACCCUCCACGGUGGCUACAGGAGCCCGCACCAGCAGUGGGAGGAGCAACAUUCCAGAAGCUGCUUCUCUCUGCACCGAUGCAGAAACUGUGCCUGCCAGAUAGUAAUGAUCCAGCCGAGGGCACCAGGCUACAAUUUGCAGAACUGGACUGAAGAAUGGCUGACAUAGCCAGCUGCAGUGGCUCAUGCUUGUAAUCCCAACAGUUUAGGAGGCCAAAGCAGGAGGAUCACUUGAAGUCAUGAGUUCAAGACCAGCCUGAGCAACAUGGCAAGACCCCAUCUCUAUAAAAAAUACAAUAAUUAGCAGGGCAUGGUCGCACAUGUCUGUAGUCCCAGCUGCUUGGUAGGCUGAGGCGGAUGGAUCAUUUCAGCCCAGGAGGCAAGACUGCAGUGAGCCAUGAGUAUGCCACUGCACUCCAGCCUGGGUGACAAAAGAAAAAAAAAAUAGAAUGGAUGAUAUAAACUUUAUUGUUUACUGUGGGGUUGCGGUGGGGGGAGGCGUUAGUUCGUUCUUCUUUCUCUCAAUACCUUUACAAAGUCUCUGUUUCAAAAGAGAGCGCAGAUUAUGCCUGCUACCCCAAGUCCUGAGUCAGAAUUCAAAGGCAAAUAUGGUAGGGUGAUGAGGCAGAAAGGACUUAGGCAGCAGGAGAGCUGUGAUUGGUGGAAGGGGCAGGCAGGAAGAGUUUGGGUUUGGAGACACUGGUUGCUGAGUCAGAACUCCAGCUCUGUCAUUGCCUGUGUGACUUUGGGCAAGUUACAUGUGAUUGUUGGAGCUUCCAUUUCAUUUGCUAAAUAAUUGGGAUCAUAAUACAUACAACGUGGAGUUGUUAGGAUGUCACGAGAGAAUGCACAAGAAGUAAGUACUCCCGAAUUGAGCUAUUAUCUACCUCAAAGGAUUACUGGAGAAAUAGAAAAGGGAUAUAAAGAAACACAGCAAAGAUGCUUCAUAAAAGCUAUUCAUGGACCAACCCUACUCCCAAAUGACAUGGAUGUGGAGCUUUUAGCACCAUCGAAAUAACUCAAUGAAAAAAGUACAUAACUUUGUUGUGAGCUCUUCCAAAAACCUGCACCAUUGAGCCUAAAAGAUUAAAGGAAAAUUGUUUUAGCAGAAAGAAAGCUCCAUCCUCAGGAAAGGCAAGCAAGGGAGCUGCAGCUAAGGGAAGGGCAAUGAAGAAGGUGGCAGCCAGACUGAAGGGAAGAGGGGCUGCAAGACUUGGAGUUGGUGAUGGCAACCCUGGAGAGGAAAGGAACAUGGCCAAGAGGUUGGGAUUCAUGCUAGAUCAAGAAGGAAGAACCCAGAAGCAGCCCAGAGGCUUCACAGCUACAUAAGAAAAAAAAGGGGGCCAGGCACGAUGCCUCAUGCCUGUAAUCCAGCACUUUGGGAGCCUGAGGCGGGUGGAUCACGAGGUCAGGAGUUCGAGAGCAGCCUGACCAACACAGUGAAACCCUGUCUCCACUGAGAAUACAAAAAUUAGCCAGGCAUGGUGGCACACGCCUGUAAUCCCAGCUACUCAGGAGGCUGAGGCAGGAGAAUCCAGGAGGCGGAACUGCGGUGGGCAGAGAUCACGCCACUGUACUCUAUUCUGGGUGACAGAGUAAGACUCCAUCUCAAAAAAAAAAAAAGGAUGUGACUAUUGCCAAAACCAACUUGUAAAACAUCACCAUGAUAUGUCACCAAGCUACCUACGAGAUGCUGGGCAUACCUUCGGUGGAAGAAAGAAACAGCUAUACAACUUUGGGUUGCUUCAUUUUUCUCUUGCAUUUCUAGUUCAGGUUGGUUUUGGUGUUCUGUUGUUGUUGUUGUUUUGCAUUCCAAAAAAAAUAAAAAAUAA
rnacentral:lncRNA from 10 species